rnacentral:rRNA from 1 species
UGGCGGACGGGUGAGUAAUGUCUGGGAAACUGCCCGAUGGAGGGGGAUAACUACUGGAAACGGUAGCUAAUACCGCAUAACGUCGCAAGACCAAAGAGGGGGACCUCCGGGCCUCGCGCCAUCAGAUGAACCCAUAUGGGAUUAGCUAGUAGGUGGGGUAACGGCUCACCUAGGCGACGAUCCCUAGCUGGUCUGAGAGGAUGACCAGCCACACUGGAACUGAGACACGGUCCAG